ACACUCUACCGCUAUCAAUCACUACACUAUCAUGCUCUACACUAACCAACUGUAGGAAAUGUCAAAUCUGACCCAAUCCAAUCGGGCCUGUAAGCAUACCCGUCCCUGGGACUGAAUAGACCCGUCCCUGUCCCGUUGCGACUGUCCAGCUACCUCCACAAUAACUGGUCUGUGGAGAGCAAGUCCAACUGGCAUGAGCGACACCAACGCGAAAGCAUAAAGCCUGACUCUGGAGUGGCACUCGUGAGCGCUACCCAACCGAGUAUGCAGCGUAUCUCUGUCGAGCUCAAACAGGCUCUGAAAAGCCAAAGUCAAGUAACCGACUCUAACAAGUCUAAUAACUAACAGUUCACGUGCCCUCGGCACAAUCUGUCGCCAAAAAAGCGAUCCGGGUCCACUGUCAAUUCUGACGGCACCCAACAGUCCGAAACAGCCUGAACGCUACUGUAAAAAUAUACUCGGCAUCCCGGCACGAGGGUAACUAAAAGCUAAACUACCUGGAAUACUCACUAUGAGGAUACUGCUACAGUAUAAAAUAAUACCACGGCCCCUAGGGCUAAAUCAGGUAGUUUAAAUAUAUGACGAUCAUAAUCGCGAGUUUUCUCCUAAGUCUUAUCCAAGUCCAACAUGUAUAUUUAGGGUUUACUAAUCAUGUCCUCAAGCUAAUUUCAUUCAUUAUACAAUCGACGAAAUUAAGCUACCACAUGAUUUACAAAAACAGGAAAUCAUACAUGUCGACUGAAUAAACCGAUGUAACCCACCUCGGUCGCUAAUCCCCGGCAGCAAGUAAGGUUACCAAAGUCCCUGUCAAGCACAGCGCAACUCCACGAACCAGCGACAAACACUCACUGCGGAUCUAGCCAUAGAAACCCGUAAUAAGCAUCGAAUCUGCCCAAAAUCACAGCAGCAGAGAAGAGAAGGGUUUCGACUGAGCAAACCUUCACCAAAUUCAGCAAAUAAGGGCUUCGUGGAUUCCUCUCGAAGUCCUGAAUCCAACGAACCAACUCUCUUCGAAAUCCGACGCUCCUACGACGAGAACGAGCCGAAACGCCAAUGAUCGACGUAGGAAAUCUGCAGGGCAGCACCUAG
rnacentral:lncRNA from 1 species